AUGGAGGGCAACUUCUGCGUCGCCUGCGUCGACCAGCCCGCCAAGGAGGUGGCCGUGCUCUACAUGGUGCCCGGCGACGGCGCCGACCAGGUCACCUGGGCCUGGGCGGGCCAGUUCCACGCCAACAAGAUGGGCUACCACGGGCCACGGCAGGAUGACCCUGCUCCGCUCCAGGGCGCCGCCGAGGUGGUCAUGUGGGAUCCUUUCGAGCAGCUCGUGCUCGCCGUCGACUUCGAUGGCAGGGUCACCCGCUCCAUCGGCCCCCUCUCCGGCGGGAUGUACUACUCGGAUUUCAUCCCCUACGUCAACUCAUACGCCGACAUCUACAGGAGCAUUUGA
rnacentral:rRNA from 1 species